AAGCAGAAAUCACCCGUUUUCUCUUCAAAAAUCCCCCAUUUUACCCCAAAAUCACGCAUUUUCUCCUCAAAAAUCCCCCAUUUAAGGGUAAAUCAUGCAUUUUCUCUUCGAAAAUCCAACAUUUAGCUAAAAAAUCACGCAUUUAAGCGGAAAUCACCCGUUUUCUCUUCAAAAAUCUCCCAUUUAACCCAAAAAUCACCCAUUUUCCCUUCAAAAAUCCCAGAUUUAACUCGAAAAUCACCCAUUUUCCCGACAAAAAUGCCCCAUUUAAGCAAAAAUCACCCAUUUUCUCUUCGAAAAUCCCACAUUGAAGUGAAAAUCACCCCUUUUCUCUUCAAAAAUCCCCCAUUUAAGUGAAAAUCACCCCUUUUCUCUUCGAAAACUUCCCAUUUUACCCCAAAAUCACUCAGUUUCUCCUCGAAAAUCCCCCAUUUAAGGGUAAAUCAUGCAUUUUCUCUUCGAAAAUCCAACAUUUAGCUAAAAAGUCACGCAUUUAAGCGGAAAUCACCCGUUUUCUCUUCGAAAAUCUCCCAUUUAACCCCAAAAUCACCCAUUUUCUCUUCAAAAUUCCCCCAUUUAACCCAAAAAUCACCCAUUUUCCCUUCAAAAAUCCCCAAUUAUUUGGAAAAUCACGCAUUUUCUCUUCAAAAACCCCCCAUUUAAGGGCAAAUCAUGCAUUUUCUCCUCUAAAAUCUCUCAUUUAACAAAAAAAAAUCACGCAUUUAAGCAGAAUCACCCAUUUUCUCUUCAAAAAUCCCCCAUUUUACCCCAAAAUCACGCAUUUUCCCUCGAAAAUCCCCCAAAGGGUAAAUCAUGCAUUUUCCUUCGAAAAUCAACAUUUAGCUAAAAAAUCACGCAUUUAAGCGAAAAUCACCUGUUUUCUCUUUCAAAAUCUCCCCUUAAACCCCAAAAUCUCCCCAGUUUCCC
rnacentral:lncRNA from 7 species